CGGCAGAUCACUUGAGGUCAGGAGUUAGUGACGUGCCUGGCCAACAUGGUGAAACCCUGUCUUUACUAAAACACAAAAAAUUAGCCAGGCGUGGUGGUGUGCGCCUGUAGUCCCAGCUACCUGGGAGGCUGAGGCAUGAGAGUCGCUUGAACUGGGAGGCAGAGGUUGCAGGUGAGCUGAGAUACAACACUGCACUCCAGCCUGGGCAACAGACCCAGACUGUCU
rnacentral:lncRNA from 10 species